rnacentral:tRNA from 1 species
GCGUUUGGGGGAAUGUCCCGAGCGGCAAGGGGGCGGACUGUAAAUCCGCUGCGUAAGCUUCGCAGGUUCGAGUCCUGCCCCCCACGCACCA